GCACUGCUGAGGAGUCCCAUACCAGGACGAAACGGCCGUCCAGUAU
rnacentral:hammerhead_ribozyme from 1 species